CAGAGUUACGAGUUCUGAAGAAGAUUUCACUCUUCCUGUUGCCCUCAAGACAAUGCUACUUUUCUCAUUUUUUGGUCCUUUGCUGUGCACUUCUUUGGGGGCUAGAUAUUUAGGCAUAGGCCCCAACAGAAAAUUAACUUCCAGAGAGGAUAACUGUGCUUAUGCCGCUGAGCUAAACCUCCAGCCCCGUGGUUUUGAUCUCCAAAGAAUUGCUGGAGUCAAACUGAAACAGCUAGUGCAAGCCAUUUAACGGAUUCCAGUUCCUGUGACUAGAAAGCAAAUAUGAGAAUUUCUAGGAGCCAUAGAAUAUUGCCUGCUUUAGAUUACAGACUCAUGAGACCAGGCUUUUCAGCAAUUGAAAUCAGCCUUAACAGAAGCUCCAGUUCUGGCUCUGUCAAAGUUGCAAAAACUUCUUUCUCUCUAUGUUGAUAAAAAACAAGGGAUAGCAAAAGGAGUCCUGACCCAGAGUUUAGGACCAUGGCAAAAGCCAAUUGCCUAUCUUUCCAAGAGACUUGAUAAUGUGGCAGCCCAAUGUCUGCCUUGCCUGCAGAUGAUUGCCUUGGUGGCCCUCCUGGUGAAAAUGGCCCAAAAGGUGACCUGUGGACAAAAACUUUUAAUUACCUCCUCACAUUCACUUGGAGACUCUCAUCAAAGCUUCACUGGAUGGAUGGCUGCCUAUCAGGCAUUACUUCUAGAUCUGACUACCAUCAGUUUCAAGGGGACAGUGUCUUUAAACCCAGAUACUCAGCUGCCUGAUGAUGACCUCUCCUUGCCCCUCUGAUCAUUUCAUGGGGCUUCGACCAGACUUGACAGAUGAGCCACUGUCCGGAGUUCCAUCAUAUUUCUAUGAUGAAAGCAGUCACAUAUAUCAAGGCCCUUCAGCUAGCUCUGACUUCCAUCCACCAGUUAUUCCGAGAACAACAACCUCUGCCUACAACCCAUCCUGAGGAUAAAUGUCCUGCAGUGAAACCUAGGACAUUAUCAUCAAGAGACAUCACCAUGAGUCAGUCAAACCAUGGUGAGAAGACCCUUACACCAUGGUCCUCAGCACUCUGACUGCCGUCAAAGUCACGAAAAAGCCUGCCUCGAUUCAUCAUUGCCACUUCAAGCCAGUUCUGGCCUCUGACAGCGAUCAACCUACAGAUAAGUGGACUGUUGUUCCCUCCAAGGAUUCUUUAAAGCUUAAGAUUGUGAAAUGUAUCUGAUAAUCUUGCUCUUAGGUGUUAUUCCUCAUGGACACCCAAGAAGAUACCUUGUAACCCCACUGUUUAAAACUUAAAAUUACUAUUUCACUGGUAAAUUAUUGGUAGCCAAUGCUACUGUCUAUGAGAUAACUAAGAUAGAUUUAUGUUCCCUAUUAGAUAACAUCCCAGAAAAAAUUAAACAAAAAAAAUGUUGGGUUUGCAUGUCAUGCUGCCUGAUUGGUUGCUAAUGGAGACUUACAAGGACCUAUGUAUUCAAAAGAAAUUACAGAGCACUGGCUGGUAUCUUUGCCCCCAAAACCAACAGCCAGCCUCUGAUCAUAGGUGUUCACAAUCCGUAGAGACAAAAUAUUUUUGUAGCUAUUGGGGUUGUAAAUUUGUAUCUCCUUGACAGAAAAAUAAAGGGGGUCUUUACCUUUUUCCUCACUCUUGAGACCCAAUCUUCUGUUCUCCUCCACUAGACUUCCUGCUCCUGAGACCUUUUUGCCCUCUGCGAUUUCUGUGACAUCUCUAGCCCCUUCUUGCCUCUGGACAUUGCUUAUGGCAAAUCAACUUUUAAAUUCCCGUACAGACGACACUUUGUUGGUGGGAUACUAAGCCCCUACUCACACUGGACAAUGUACAGGGUGCUCCAGGAAUCUGUGUUUACUCUGCCUCCUACUCUUUGCACACUUCCCCUAAUGCUGCACUCUGUAAUCCUGCCUCUUCAGCUUUGAUUUAUACUUUUUCCUAUCCUGCUAAUCAACACCUUGUUGCUCCCAAUGGAGCCUGGUUUGCCUGUACUUCUAAUAUAACUCCUUAUUCCAUGCAGCACCUGUUUACCCAAUGCCCUGAGCUUUACAUAUUAGUCAAUAUCUUUCCCCAGUGUAUUAGUACUCUAGAGAUAAUGGUAAGAGUCACUUGUUCCCUAGCUUUGACUUAAAGAGUCCAGUAAGAACAAAAAAAAUCCUGUAUUAUUACCUGUAUUACUAAAAAUUGAGAUAACAAGGUCAAUAGGUUUAAGAGUGUCCAGCCUAAUAGUCAAAAGACCAAAAUUAUAGACACUUAAAUGCACUCAUUGACCGAGAUUUAGCAGCCCUUAGUGACUCUGUCUCCAAAUUAGAUGAUUUUUUAAGUUCACUGACUGAGAUGGUUUUACAAAACUGGUAGGGUCUAGAUCUCCUGUUCCUAAAGGAAGGAGGCUUUUGUCUGGCAGUAGGAGAAAAUUGUUGUUUGUAUGCCAAUCAUUCUGGGGUUAUCAGACAAAGUAUGGCCAGCCUUAAAAGGCAGCUACAGGAUCAAGAACAAGCCAGACAAGCUGAAUAGAAUUGGUUUGAGCAAUGGUUUUCUCUAUCUCCCUGGUUGACAACGUUAAUCAUAGCAGCCUCCAGACCUCUCUUGAUCUUAAUUACUUGUUUAACAAUUGGACCUUGCAUUAUAAACAGAUAAGUAAAUUAUGUCAAAGACCAGGUGCAAACAAUAAAACUCAUGGUUUUAAGGACACAAGUUUAUGAACAAAUAGCACUUCUUGAAAAUUCCAUGAGCCAAUGAUUUGGUUCACUGACAAAAAUCAGUGGGGAAUGUUAUACUAAGACGCUAAAAAUUAAAAUAAUUGAUUAAAAGAUAAUUAACAUAAAUAGGUACUUAAAAUAUAGUUAUUAGUAAUAUUGUCAUUCUGUACUGAGCUCAUUACUCUAGUAACCAAGCACAACCACAUAGCUAUAAAUUAACUGACCACGUCAUUCUGCUGUUCUGUAAUGCAUCAUCGCCCCCACCUUAGUGACCUGUGUGCUAUGUCAACUUUUGUUCCCCUUUUAAGAGACAAACGAUGCUGUGUCAACCAUUGUUCCUUUUAUGAGAGACAAAUGUUCCUGGAAUUGGCAGACCAAGGGCUAUGAAUUGGCUAACCACCCACUGAAAUGCCUCUGACCUCAAGCAAAGUGAAACAAAGGCCCACCUUAUUUCUGUUUCUCAUCACUAUGUACUUAAUGAUCAAUGAGCUAGUCAUAAAUGAACUAUAAAAAUCAGUCAAAACUCUAACUCAGUUGCACAGCUUUGCAAAUUCCAUCUGCACUGUGUUGCUGGGCCAGCUAAAAUAAAAGCACUUCUUUUAAAAAAGAUGUCUUGCCCCAUUUGUCAUCUUGGGGUCUUGCCCCGUUUUUUUCAUCAUGGGGCCCUGUUUUUUUUUUUUAGUAGAGUACAACAAAGAGCUGAGUGCCAAUUAGUGGCAAGGGAACUAUAUGGCAAGGGGAACUUAUAGUGUGAAGUCCUCGGGUGUCCCUGCCUCACCAGAAGGAAAUGUUUAAUUGGAUUAGGAAUUUGGUUCCAUUUCAGCAAUAAUUGUCACCCCCCAUGCUUGGCAAUAUGAUCACUUUCAGAAUUCAGCAUUUUUAUGAGUCUGAAUGAGUAGCAAGCUUGUCUUGGAGAACUGAUGCUUGCU